rnacentral:rRNA from 1 species
AUUGAACGCUGGCGGCAGGCCUAACACAUGCAAGUCGAACGGUAACAGGAAGCAGCUUGCUGCUUCGCUGACGAGUGGCGGACGGGUGAGGAAUGUCUGGGAAACUGCCUGAUGGAGGGGGAUAACUACUGGAAACGGUAGCUAAUACCGCAUAACGUCGCAAGACCAAAGAGGGCGACCUUAGUGCCUCUUGCCAUCUGCUGUGCCCAGAUGGGAUUAGCUAGUAGGUGGGGUAACGGCUCACCUAGGCGACGAUCCCUAGCUGGUCUGAGAGGAUGACCAGCCACACUGGAACUGAGAAACGGUCCAGACUCCUACGGGAGGCAGCAGUGGGGAAUAUUGCACAAUGGGCGCAAGCCUGAUGCAGACAUGCCGCGUGUAUGAAGAAGGCCUUCGGGUUGUAAAGUACGUUCAGCGGGGAGGAAGGGAGUAAAGUUAAUACCUUUGCUCAUUGACGUUACCCGAAGAAGAAGCACCGGCUAACUCCGUG